rnacentral:lncRNA from 1 species
CUUUUACUAUUACCCUGUUGCUGGGGAAGAUGGGUGAGAGAAACCAAACUCAGUUUAGAGCUCUCCUCGUGCAGCUGUCAGGGCUGAACCGCAGGCAUCAGGAAUAGUUGAGGAGAAAGUUUUCAGAGAUGUUAGAGCUGUGUAUGGGAGGUGUGAGCCAUGGCAGGUACAGCACUAUGCGUGGGAGGUGUGAACCGCGGCAGGAAGUGCCUUCUCUUCUUCCUUUACUGUAUGAGUCGUCCAGAAAAACCGUUUCCCGGUUGUUUUUAGCACCUGAUACAUAGCUCACACCUCUCAUUCUCUCGUCAGCCUUGAUAAUUAGACAGUCAGCUUAACAUUAAGCAGAGACUUUUCCUUUAUUCUUGCCCCUCUACAAUGGCCCUCACUCCACCUCACCCCUGCACCCCAGCUGAGACAUCCUAGGUAUACCUGUUCCUUUUCCUCUAUGAAGAACCCGAGAGACGUGGAAGCCAGAACCAAGGUCUAGCCUUGGAGUCCAUCUGUUCUCCGAUCCCAUCUCUGUUCCUCCUCUCGCCUACCUGAAGAAGCUGUGGCCACAGAGAGAGCCCUGCCUGUGUCCACUGGGCAGACAAGUCCAUGAUGCACUCUCCAUACCCUGUUUAACUAGCUUUAGCCAUCUCCUCUAAAGCAUGGUGGCCCACUGCCCAUGUCAAGCUGCAGGCUGGGCCGUGCAUCUCUUCCUCCUGGCUGUAAGCAGCACAAAGAGGCCUCCUUGAGCUGAC